GCCCCUAUCGUCUAGUGGCCCAGGACUCGGGAUUUUCAUUCCCGCAACAGCGGUUCGAAACCGCUUGGGGGUACGA
rnacentral:tRNA from 1 species